rnacentral:sRNA from 1 species
UAGUACUUAGGCUUUUAAGAUUUGGUUGCGGUUCUAGUUAUUACACUCACUCAGACGCAUUACAUCUAGUCAUAUUUGACUCCAAAACACUAACCAAGUUUCUACUUGCUUCUCAAAGCUUUGAUGGUGUAGCCGAAGUCUGUAUGAGUCGUUGGCUUUAUAUCUUCUAACAAGGAAACACUACUUAGGCUUUUAAGAUUUGAUUGCGGUUCUAGUUCUUAUACUUGACAUGUUGCGUUUUUGGUGUCUUAGGUCCCUUAGGUUUGAGUCGUUUAUCGUGUUGUAUUCCGUCUUUGCGUCUUUUCGGUUGUGUCUUGAGUCAUUUGCAGGUUUUAGGUA